GAUGAACGCUGGCGGCGUGCCUAAUACAUGCAAGUCGAGCGAACGGACGAGAAGCUUGCUUCUCUGAUGUUAGCGGCGGACGGGUGAGUAACACGUGGAUAACCUACCUAUAAGACUGGGAUAACUUCGGGAAACCGGAGCUAAUACCGGAUAAUAUUUUGAACCGCAUGGUUCAAAAGUGUAAGACGGUCUUGCUGUCACUUAUAGGUGGAUCCGCGCUGCAUUAGCUAGUUGGUAAGGUAACGGCUUACCAAGGCAACGAUGCAUAGCCGACCUGAGAGGGUGAUCGGCCACACUGGAACUGAGACACGGUCCAGACUCCUACGGGAGGCAGCAGUAGGGAAUCUUCCGCAAUGGGCGAAAGCCUGACGGAGCAACGCCGCGUGAGUGAUGAAGGUCUUCGGAUCGUAAAACUCUGUUAUUAGGGAAGAACAUAUGUGUAAGUAACUGUGCACAUCUUGACGGUACCUAAUCAGAAAGCCACGGCUAACUACGUG
rnacentral:rRNA from 1 species